GACGAACGCUGGCGGCGUGCUUAACACAUGCAAGUCGAACGAAGUGGCGAACGGGUGAGUACCGCGUAAUCAACCUGCCCUUCAAAGGGGGACAACAGUUGGAAACGAAUGCUAAUACCGCAUACUGAAGGAGGGGCUUGCGUCUGCUUAGCUAGUUGGAGGGGUAACGGCCCACCAAGGCGAUGAUCAGUAGCCGGGCGUGGAUGAUGAACGGCCAAAUUGGGACUGAGACACGGCCCAGACUCCUACGGGAGCAAGCAGUGGGGAAUCUGCCGCAAUGGACGAAAGGCUGACGGAGCAACGCCGCGGGAGUGAGGACGGCCUUCGGGUUGUAAAGCUCUGUUAAGCGGGACGCGGUACCGGAAUAGAAAGCCACGGCUAACGACGUGCCAGCAGCCGCGGUAAUAC
rnacentral:rRNA from 1 species